GGGGUUGCUUAUACAUUCUAAAGGAGAGGUCGGAAUGAGUUUUUAAGACACAAAGAAGGAAAAAAGCCUUCCAGGUAAGGGGAAUAAAUAACACAGAGAGAAGUAAGGAAGGAAGAGACAGCAGGCUUACUCUUGAGGUGCCAGAAGGUGAAGUUGCCCAGGCAAGUAUAAAGAUGGAUUUGACAGUUGGUGGGGGACAGGGGUUGGUGGGGGAGGAGAAUGUUAGUAAGAAUGACAAGACCGGCCAAAAAUGCAUUUUUGUGGGAAUGCAGGUGAGAGAUGACGUGGCUAUGAAGUUAGGCAGUGUUAGACAAAAGGGAGCCAGAUUCUAGAGAAACUAAGGAAGUAGAUCAGCAGGCUGGAUGACUGCCUGACUAGAUAUGGGGAGACGCGAGCGGGAAGUGAGCCUACGCUGACUCUCAGGUUUCUGGCUUACUUAAAGGAGAUGACGGUGGCUUUUAUCAAAACAGAACACAGGAGUGGGAGCAGAUCUUGGGAGGAGCUUGAAGAAAGAUGAUGAGUUUAGUUACAGACUGAUUUUCAAGUGCUAUGGGUCAUCCAGGUGAAGAUGUUCAGUAAUUUAACAAAUAUGUAUCAAGUGUCUCCUAUGUGCUAGGCACUGAUGAGUAUUUGAGGAGAGAGAUUUGGGAGUGAUUUGGGUAUCAUCAAUGUAUCAUAAAAGUUGAAGUCUUGGGAGGGGACAAUCCCACAUUCAGAGACGUGAUGUAGAUUAAGCCAAGAGAGGACUAAGGACAGGACUCAUCUCUGGGAAUGCCAAUAUUUAGGGGGCAGACUUGAGUUGCCAGAACAGAGACCAAAGAGGAGCUGCCAGAAAGGAAAGAAAACGCUUCUGGAGGAGAGUGUCCAAAAAGCCAAGGAAAGAACAAACUUCAGGAAAGAGGGAGAGGCCAACAACAUGGAAUUUCGAGGAGGUCAAUUAAGACCACUGAGUUUUGCAAGAAUAAGGUGCUCAUUAUAAAGCAUCUGAGGAGUUCAGAAGAGCACCAAGAAAUUUAAAAACUAAAGUCCUAAUACCUGUCUUCGACAUUAGGUGAACAUUCCAGACAUAUAUACAGACAGAAGACCACAUGGAUGACUUAUCAAGAAACGAAAAAUGUUUACAAAAAUGAGAUCCCACUACAGUAUUAUUUUUAUUUAUUUAUUUUUAUUUUUAUGUUUUUGAGACAGUCUUGCUGUUGCCCAGGCUGGGGUGCAGUGGCAUGAUCUAGGCUCACUGCAACGUCCGCCUCCUGAGUUCAAGCAAUUAUCCUGCCUCAGCCUCCCAAACUGGGAUUACAAACAUGUGCCACCACGCCCAGCUAAUUUUUCUGGGGUUUUUUUUUUCGUAGAGACGGGGUUUCACCAUGUUGGCCAGGCUGGUUUUGAACUCCUGACCUCAAGUGAUUCUCCCGUCUUGGCCUCCGAAAGUGCUAGGAUUAUGGGCGUGAGCCACUGCACCCAGCCUAUUUUAUUUAUUUUUCAGAAAAAGUCUCACUCUGGCCCAGGCUGGAGUGCAGUGGCACAAUCAUAGCUCACAGCAGCCUCCAACUCCUGGGCUCAAGCAGUCCUUCCACCUCAGCCUCCCAAGUAGCUGGGACUACAGGCCCAUGCCACCAGGCCUGGCUAAUUUUUUAAAAAAUAUAUUUUUAAGGCUGGGCACGGUGGCUCACGCCUGUAAUCCCAGCACUUUGGGAGGCAGAUCACUUGAGGCCAGGAAUUCAAGACCAGCCUGGCCAACAUGGUGAAACCCCGUCUCUACUAAAAAUACAAAACUUAGCCAGGAAUGGUGGCGCAUGCCUGUAAUCCCAGCUACUCAGAAAAAAAAAUUAUUUUUAGUAGAGAUGAGGUCUUGCUAUGUUGCACAGGCUGGCCUCAAACUCCUGGCUUCUAGCUAUCCUCCUACCUUGGUCUCCCAAAGUGCUGUGAUUACAGGCAUGAGCCACGGUGCCUGGCCCUGUGUUGUUUUACUGUUUAAAACUGUUUUACUGUUUACUGUUUAAAAACAGUAAAUAAGGUUAGGCAGAUGGCUCACGCCUGUAAUCCCAGCACUUUGGGAGGCCAAGAUGGGAGGAUUGUUUGAGCCCAGGAGUUCAAGACCAGCCUUGGGCAACAUAGCAAGACCUGAUCUCUACAAAAAACAGCUAGGCCUGGUGGUACACACCUGUAGUCCCAGCUACUUGGGAGGCUGAAGCAAGAGGAUGGCUUGAGCCUGGAAAGCAGAGGCUGCCUAGCCGAGAUCGUACCACUGCACUCCAGCCUGGGUGCCAGAGCAAGACCCUGCCUCAAAAAAAAAUAAAAAAGAAUUAGCUGUGCAAUUCAGAGUCAGCUAUGGCCUGAACGGAUUAAGAAGCUGGGGUGCCCUAGACUGGUGUUUGGGGAGAGUCCUGGGUUGGAAGGAGAUGACUGUAGUCUAGGCUGACCACAUGCAGACUCCUAGGUGACUUAUAGGGCUCAUCUGGGUGUGCUCAGGCUGGUGGGCAGAGGCCACGGUGGUGCUCCGCCUGGGGCUGAGGCAGAGCGUAACCCUGAUCCACUCCUGGAAAGCCAAGAAGCAUCCUAUGGCACACGUUCUAGUUUAGACAUACCUGCUGGGGAGCGUGCUUUGCAACAUGGAGGAGGGAGCACUUCUUCCUGGCAGGACACCCUGGGUCCUCAGAGGCACUCCAAGGUGCUCCAAAGUAUGACAGCUUUUACUAUUUUACUGCUGUUUACACUGCAGAAUAUAUGAAAGCCACACUCUCUUUUCGGGGAUAGAGACCCCUUGUUAGCCCUCCACUGAGAAGCAGUGGAGAAACUCUGAUAAACAAUGAUUGACUAAAUGCAUAUUCUGUGCCAAGAGCUUUUCAUAUACUAUACUAAGUCAUUCAAUGUAGUGACUAUAUAGUCAGUAUUCUUGCCCCUGCUUUAUACGUGAAGAAACUAUGCUUCAGAGAAAGCAGUUUGCCCAUGGUUGUCCUCAAGCAGAUGGAAUCCAAACCCACCGGGCAUGGUGGCCACACCUGUAAUCACAGCACUUUGGGAGACCAAGGUGAGAGGAUCACAUGAGCCCAGGAGUUCAAGACCAGCCUAGGCAACAUAGGAAGACCCUGUCUCUACAAAAAAUAAAAAUAAUAAAAGUAAAUGAGCUAGCGUGAUGGCACACACCUGAAGUCCCAGCUACUCCAGAGGCUGAGACAGAAGAAUCACUUGAGUCCAAGAGGUUGAGGCUGCAGUAGCCGUGAUUGUGCCACUGCCCUCCAGCCUCAGUGACAGACUGAGACCCUGUCUCAAAAAAAGAAAGAAUCCAGCCAGGCGCCGUGGCUCAAGCCUGUAAUCCCAGCACUUUGGGAGGCCAAGGCAGGCGGAACACUUGAGGCCAAGAGUUCAAGACCAGCCUGGCCAAUGUGGUGACACCCCGUCUCUACUAAAAAUAUAAAAAUUAGCCGGGCGUAAUGAUGGGCGCCUGUAAUCCCAGCUACUCGGGAAGCUGAGGCAGGAGAAUCGCUUGAACCUGGGAGGCGGAGUUUGCAGUGAGCCAAGAUCGCACCACUACACUCCAGCCUGAGCAACAGAGCAAGACUCCAUCUCAAAAAAAAGAAAAAAAAUCCAGGUCCAGGUCUGUCAGAUUCAAAGCCCAUUCACUUCCCGGCUUUCCGGCCCCUCUAUUCUUUGCCUCUACCCAGUAAAACAAUUGCAUGGGGUGGGAGGAGAGGUGUGGCUGUUAUUGUUGCUUUCCUUUUAGCUUCUUUUAACAGAAUGCAAGACGAUUUUUGCUCUCGCAGCAACUAAAGUGAGUUUUAUCCAAGCAAUGCUGGGGAAUCAAGUUUGUGAAACUCUUCCUAUGAAAUAUUAAAAAGGUCAAUGCCACAAAUGCGA